rnacentral:rRNA from 1 species
GACGAACGCUGGCGGCGUGCUUAACACAUGCAAGUCGAACGGUAAGGCCCUUCGGGGUACACGAGUGGCGAACGGGUGAGUAACACGUGGGUGAUCUGCCCUGCACUUCGGGAUAAGCCUGGGAAACUGGGUCUAAUACCGGAUAGGACUACUGCCUGCAUGGGUGGGGGUGGAAAGCUUUUGCGGUGUGGGAUGGGCCCGCGGCCUAUCAGCUUGUUGGUGGGGUGAUGGCCUACCAAGGCGACGACGGGUAGCCGGCCUGAGGGGGUGACCGGCCACACUGGGACUGAGAUACGGGCCAGACUGCUACGGGAGGCAGCGUUGGGGAAGAUUGCACAAUGGGCGCAAGCCUGAUGCAGCGACGCCGCGUGAGGGAUGACGGCCUUCGGGUUGUAAACCUCUUUCAGCACCGACGAAGCGCAAGUGACGGUAGGUGCAGAAGAAGGACCGGCCAACUACGUGCCAGCCGCCGCAGUAA